AACGAAGGUUGUUCAUUUUGAUUAAUGCUGUCGUUGCGGUAAUAAGGAGGAGGCGUGUGAGAAUGGGACGAUACAGUUGAUGCAGAAGAAAGCAUGUUGCAAACCCCUGGAUUUUUCCUGCGCCGUUUGUUGAUGAAUCGAACUUGCUGACGUUUCGUCAAUCAUCCUGUUGGCGUCUUGAGAGCUUAACUAAAACCGACGCAGGAGGAAAAUUUCUACACACGACAAUAUUUCCGCAAGUGCUCCUUUUUCAAACUACACUGUGUUAAACUAAGAAAACCGGCGUUCAUUUUGUGUCGAUAAUAUUCAUUACAACUCCCUAUGGGAUGUCACUAGACUAAACAGAGGUUAAUGCAGUUAUUAAUUAUAACCCAAAUAUCACAAGGACGUUCGUAAAACGUCCUCGGGACAUCUGACGGCACCUAGCGUAUACCCUAAGGAUAUACUGUUGCAGCUAAGGGACAUCCUUAAGACGUCUCAAGGAUAUACGAUGAUACUAAUUGGAACGUCCACAGUAUAUCAGAUACGUAUGUCCGGAGGAUAUUUGUUAGAACAUCCUAAGGAUAUCCAGUUAUACUAGUUAAGAGGUUGUUAAUAUAUCCGACUGUGAGGAUACAGGAUCUUAUAUAGAUAUACCAGAAGACCUUACUUAUUAGGUUAUUUCCAACACACUAUGAGAAAUACUGGAAAGGUAUGUCCAGUAGUCCAAUUGGUUGUACGACUAUAAAAAUUCUAUCCCAGUACUCGCGUGUGAUGGAAUUCACCUAUUGGGUAUAGUUGGUUAAGUCAUCACAGGCGAUAUUUGAAAUGCACAAGUUUUUUUCAAUUAAUAUUUAAUCUUUAAUUUUGCUUUUGAUGAUAAAAGUGAAUUACUGCCGAUUGAUAAAACAAAUUUUUUUCUAAUGUAGAUAUAUAAUAGUAGGUAUGGUCUCUUCAUAGAUAUAAGAAAGUGACCAAUUGCUUUUGAAUGGGAUUAUGCAAGGGUGGUCAUUAACAUAAAAUGCAACAAGAUUAUUACCUAAAGUUUCGGAAUUUUAAUUCAGGUACAAUUGUGGUCCGUAAUAAAAAAUUGAAAAGAAGUUGAUUUUAAAGGUUUGAUUCCGUUUUUUUUUUAGGACUUGCCAACAUUGACGUCGAUGUAGAUGUACACAAAAACGUUGGCAAUACUUAAAUGUUCGGGGCAUAUAACUCAAUAAAAUGUAUCACAAAACACCACAAAUCUAAAAAAACUGAGUAUUUUCAGUUGUUCAAAAUACUUAAAUGUUCAAAAUUCAUUUAUUUAUUACACAGAAAGCGAAAUAAAGUUUUAUUGAGACUAGCCGAUACAAAGGCUCGAAUAAUUAAGAGCAAUAUUACAAUAGACAAUUGAGUAAACAGGGCUUUCGAUGCGGUGUCAGCAAUCCGUUAUCUUCGCUUAGCUUUGGGUUUCGUCUGCAGUUUGGGACAUAUAACUAAAUUUAAGUUUUUAGGUUUCAUUUUGUUUUACGGGUUUUCACUUUUUUGCCUUAUUUCUAUUCUAAUGUUCCCAUUAUGGCGCAAGGGGAUAUCCUCAGGUCAUCUAUUUGGGGGAUAUCUGUGGUAUAUCGUGUACAAUAAAUCCGCAAGCUAUCCAUUCAGAGGAUAUCCCUGGGAUGUAUUUUACAGUAUAUUCUUAAUAUAUAUGCUAACGUAUAUCCUAAGAAUAUCCUCGACAUGUCCCGGGACAUGCGACUUGAAUGGGACAUUGACCGGAUAUACUGGGGAUAUUGUGUGCUAUCUGGGAACAGUGCUUCAACCAUGCACAUGCACCCAACGAAUCAAAAUCCAAAGAAUUGAGCGUUUUCUAUUUUAUUUUGAAGCCGGGAAAAAAAACAAAAGUUUAAAAAAAAAAAACAAAAAACUUAUCAAGCGCAACUUUUGCCUACCAUUAUUAAGAAUUGUAUAAUAAGUAUUUAUCCGUUUGUUUCAUUAUGUCGCUUCGUUCAUUUACCUUAACUGGAAAGUAUUGUUUUGAGGAACGAUGUUGUAGACUGUAAUUUUGUAAGUAUUUCUCACGAUUGUUUUAAUUGUCUGUUAUAUAGUUUGACCUGUUGUUUUCAUUAAAUUUUAGUUCACUCCUGAAGAAGUCAACAAAUAAAUUAACGAAAUAUUGAGUGUUAAAGAA